rnacentral:lncRNA from 1 species
AUAAACCUUUUAAUCUAAGGCCCCGACACCCUGACCCAUCACACCAAUCGUCUCUAGAGCAAGUAGCAAAGGGCUUGGUGGUUGGUACCCGAGACCCAAGUUCGAAUCCUAGUUGAUUCACAUUUCCAGUUAAGUUUAUUUCUAAAUGAAAUAAACGAAGCAGGUAGCGUGUUAUCUAUCUCUCUCCAAAAAAAAAAAAAA